rnacentral:misc_RNA from 1 species
CAGUAGUUUGCCUGCAACAGCUAAAAGGAAUAUUGGGUCUUGAUCAUUUCACCCAUGCCACUGAUCUUGUCUCAGUCAUGCGUUCUGUUUUCACUCAAACGCAUCAGUGGAGAUGGGAAAGUGCGGUUCUUGGGUGUUGCUUUCUGUUCUUCCUUCUCACCACCAGAUAUUUCAGCAAGAGACGACCAAAGUUCUUCUGGAUAUCAGCAAUGGCACUUUCCCAUCUCCACUGAUGCGUUUG